UACGUAGGGGGCAAGCGUUGUUCGGAAUGACUGGGCGUAAAGGGUGCGUAGGCGGUGUAGCAAGUUAGAAGUGAAAUACCUAGAGCUUAACUCAGGUGCUGCUUCUAAAACUGCUAUACUUGAGUGCAGAAGGGGAGAGUGGAAUUCCAUGUGUAGCGGUGGAAUGCGUAGAUAUAUGGAGGAACACCGGUGGCGAAAGCGGCUCUCUGGUCUGUAACUGACGCUGAGGCUCGAAAGCGUGGGUAGCGAACAGG
rnacentral:rRNA from 1 species